rnacentral:rRNA from 1 species
UCGAGCGAAGCACUUUUGCGGAUUUCUUCGGAUUGAAGCAAUUGUGACUGAGCGGCGGACGGGUGAGUAACGCGUGGGUAACCUGCCUCAUACAGGGGGAUAACAGUUGGAAACGGCUGCUAAUACCGCAUAAGCGCACAGUACCGCAUGGUACCGUGUGAAAAACUCCGGUGGUAUGAGAUGGACCCGCGUCUGAUUAGCUAGUUGGUGGGGUAACGGCCUACCAAGGCGACGAUCAGUAGCCGACCUGAGAGGGUGACCGGCCACAUUGGGACUGAGACACGGCCCAAACUCCUACGGGAGGCAGCAGUGGGGAAUAUUGCACAAUGGGGGAAACCCUGAUGCAGCGACGCCGCGUGAGCGAUGAAGUAUUUCGGUAUGUAAAGCUCUAUCAGCAGGGAAGAAAAUGACGGUACCUGACUAAGAAGCCCCGGCUAACUACGUGCCAGCAGCCGCGGUAAUACRUAGGGGGCAAGCGUUAUCCGGAUUUACUGGGUGUAAAGGGAGCGUAGACGGCAUGGCAAGCCAGAUGUGAAAGCCCCGGGGCUCAACCCCGGGACUGCAUUUGGAACUGUCAGGCUAGAGUGUCGGAGAGGAAAGCGGAAUUCCUAGUGUAGCGGUGAAAUGCGUAGAUAUUAGGAGGAACACCAGUGGCGAAGGCGGCUUUCUGGACUAUGACUGACGUUGAGGCUCGAAAGCGUGGGGAGCAAAC